rnacentral:sRNA from 1 species
AUGUACCACUUGUAUACUCCGGUUCCUGUGCGCCGUCCGCACCCACCUGACGACUGCUCGCUACGUUUUGUUAGCC